UCUGUUUUUUAAAUAGUUGAAGGAAAAAUAGAGUAAAGUACUUGUUGAUAUCCACAAGCCAAAUUUCCUCUAAUAGCAGACGAAUCAAAUUGCAAAUGAUGAUCAAAGUAAUUAAACAAAAAAUUUAAAUAUAAACUAUUUUUACAAAUAAAAAUGUACACAUGUUUGGGAUUAUAUAAAAUAUUUUCAAUGAAGAACUUCUGGUUAAUAGAGAGGUUAUAUUCACCUGGCCGUCUAACAUUUACAUCGGGACUAAGUGUAUGCUUUAAAUAUUCACUGAGUGUAAGCAAGUUGUCAUCGUUCCAGGUCUUAAAUAAAAAAUUUAAGAUUCGUAAGCUUCAUGUUUUAUGACAAGCAAUAAUUGUAACC
rnacentral:misc_RNA from 1 species